GACGUAGGGCGCGAGCGUUGUCCGGAUUUAUUGGGCGUAAAGAGCUCGUAGGCGGCUUGUUGCGUCAGCUGUGAAAAACCCGCAGCUCAACUGUGGGCUUGCAGCUGAUACGGGGCAGGCUUGAGUUCGGUAGGGGGAGACUGGAAUUCCUGGUGUAGCGGUGAAAAUUGCGCAGAUUAUCAGGGAGGGAAACACCCGGGUUGGGCGAAAGGGCGGGGGCUCUGGGG
rnacentral:rRNA from 1 species